CACUGAACUCCUGUUUCAGUCAUUCAUUUGUUGUGUGACUCUGGGUAAGUCAGUUAAUGUCUCCUAUCCUGAGUUUCCUCAUCAAUAAGUGGAGAUGAUAAUAACACUAAAUCUUAGAUAUUAUUUGUAAUGCACUUGGAAAACCUAAAAGGUCCUUUAGCAUGAUAAUGAAAAUAUUAUACUUACAGAAGUCUUGUUCACUGAAUUUCUUCUUCCUCAUCCCUCAAGGGACAGGCACAGCAGGAGAUUAAUGAAUAAUUAAUAGUUAAUUAAUAAUUACAGGUACUCAUAACGCUGUGGCAAAGGGAUGAAAUACACACUUCAUAGAUAUGCCGGAAUGGAACUAAAGGAACCAUGUAGGUAAAGGACAGUGUAGAAAUAUCAAGGACAUGAUCUUGAUCAAAAUUAUGCAGUAACACAUUGAGGAAUCUUAAGAGCUUCAUGGAUAUGAAUCAAUGCUUUGCCACAGUGUAAACAGUGGGUUAAAUAACAGCUUGGAAAACUUAAGGACCAUGAGUUUGGAUGGAGACCUCGCCAGAAAUGGAGUGACUGAAUGACCUUGGCUUUAUGCCUCCAUUUCCCCAACACAAGGAUUAUUGUGAAGACUAAUGAAAAUGUUGACUUUCACCUUGCCCAAAAGCCAGUGUUUAUUGCAAAGGUAAGAUACCAGAAAUAAAAAUGAUUAAGGUUCUCCCCUCACAUAUAUUACCACCCCACCUCAAAAAAAAUAAAAACAAGCAAAAACUAGAAAUUCUGGAGUGG
rnacentral:lncRNA from 1 species